rnacentral:misc_RNA from 1 species
GUUCAUCAAUAACAAAACCAACCUGUAAAUAAAAUGGAAUUAGCGGGAGAUACUGAUCAAAACCACCAUGUAUCACCUAAACGUAUAGUGAGCAUGUGAAGUUGUCUGAUGAGACAAAAUACAGAGAAUAUAUAUUUACUUUACAAAUUGCUGAACUUUAUUUUCCAGAGAAAAGAAUAAAAUAUGCUGCUAUAUAUCCAAUGAUCAAACCACCUAAAUUUCAAGACUACAUCACUUUAUUGCAAUAGUAAGACAAGAAUUAGUAAGAAGCAGCUUGCUCAGAAAAUGUAAAGAAAGGAGAAAUGUUGUUCCAAUGACACGAAAAGGAUUGACACAUUUCAAGGAAGCAUUACUGUUUGACUCAGUCAUAAAUUCAGCACCAGUAUAUACAAUUUACAAGGAGUUGAGAUGGCCAAAAUCACACAAAGGGGUAAUAGUUGCUGAUCCAACUCAGAUUCACCUGCAAACUCACCAUAAAGUUCUCUUUUGUUCUUCUUUUGUGAUUAGAAACUUUGACCAAGUAUGAAUUUUUUGAAGAAUUGAAGAGGAAAUGAAUAAGAAACAAUGUUAGUCUUUAGCUUUAAUAUAAUCCAAAAUCUGCAUGUAUAAAUACAAUUCUAUGUUGAUAUGCACCAGAGACGCCAGAAUGACGAAUACAACUAAAAGAAAUUAGAAUUGAUCCUCUUAUCAUUAGCACAACUGGCUGCACUUUCAAGAGCUGGCAAAAAUCAAUAAAUGGAUCCAAAAGUAACCUUGUCAAGUAACCUCUUAGG